UAUCAGCCUGGUCCCCAACGGGGCCCUGAUCUCCGUCGCCGCUGCAGCACAUCGGCCAGCGCCCCUACUCCCGGCGAGGAUGCUUCCUCCGUCUCCGUCUCCAAAUCUACUAUACCACGGGACUGAAUCCCCAACCCGGGCGCAGAUCCGCGUUCACGCGGGGAAGAGAGGCACUUGGGUGCUCCCCGGUCAAAGAAAGAGACAACUCCGGCGAAUCUUUCUUCCCCGCUGGCGCUCACACUCGGCCACAUCCACUCCACACCUCGUCGCCGUCUACGUCGCCGUCGGCACUUAUUGGGCCGCGAGUCUGCAACCACUCGAUUCAGAGAACAAAAAGAAGAAUCUGCCCCCCUUCUCCAUUGUGCCUAUCUCUUCUUCCCGGCAAGCGUCGUGUCCUCCUUGCUUACCGGUCACCGGCGGCAACGGGGUCCCUUGCAGACGGUGUUGGUACUUGAUACAGUGUUAUCUGUAUCCCCGUAAGAUCCGCCCGGGGAAGGACAGCAAUGGCGGCAGCGGCAGCCGUCGUCGGGGGCAUGGUUGCCUCGGGUGUCAUCAAGGUGGUGAUAAAACAGAUCGGCUCCGCCAUCGGCGGCAAGAUCAAGCUGCACAAGAACCUGAAGAGAGACCUGCAGAAGAUGCAGAUGACGCUGGAGUCGGUGGAGGCCGCGCUCAGCGACGCCGAGAGGCGGUCCAUCACCGACAGCUCGGCGCUGCUGUGGGUGAACCGGCUCAAGGCCGCCAUGUAUGACAUCUCCGACAUGCUCGACGACUUCCAAUCUGACACCCAGUCCCUGUUCGGAGCUAUGAGGAAGAGGAUCAGUAUGCCAGACAAGAUGAAAAAGAUGCAAAAGUGUCUACAGAAGAUAACAGAAGACCAUCAGAACUAUCGUCUAACGCCAGAAACUUGCACCAAUGAGCAGCAACUUCCUGAUAUCCGGGAAAAUGCAGGGACUAUGGUGGAAGCAGAAAUCAUCGGGAGGGCCGAGGAAAAACUGGAAAUCUUGGCUCGAUUGUCUGGGAGCGCCAGUGAACAUACCACCUUUGUUCCCAUAUGGGGCUUUGGAGGCAUUGGAAAGUCCACCUUGGCAAGAUCGGUUUACAAUCAUCCUGAGUUUGAGAAACACUCUCGGGUAUGGAUCUAUGUUUCCCAGAUAUUUGACUUGAAAAAAAUUGGCAACACUAUAAUAUCACAACUAUCAAGACAACAGAGCCAGCAGAUACUUGAUCUGCACAGUAUUAACAUUCGCCUGCAAGAGCUACUUGCUGAGAAGAAGAAUGCUCUGAUCAUUUUGGAUGACCUGUGGGAGAAGCGUCCUUCUCAACUAGAAGAAUUAAAGUCUAUGCUGAAGCAGGGUAAGGGGUGCAAGGUGAUGGUUGUAGUUACCACACGUGAUGAAGGCAUUGCAAAUGAGAUCUCCACUGUUCAGCCUUACAACUUACCUCAAUUGUCAGAUGAGAUGUGCUGGGAAAUAAUGAGGCAAAAAAGUAAAUUUGAAACAAGAGAUGACAAAGAAUGGCUGGAGCCAAUUGGAAAGGAUAUUGCAAAGAAGUGCAAAGGUGUAGCUUUAGCUGCUCAAUCACUUGGACACAUUUUGAAGUCCAAGUCUUAUGGAGAAUGGAAUUCGGUCAGAACCAAUCAUAUCUGGAAUCUAUCUACUUCUACAGAUGCAUCAUCUGGACAUGAAGUGCUUGGAUCCUUGCUGUUAAGCUACAACCUCAUGCCUCCAUACUUAAAGUUAUUCUUUGCUUAUUGUGCAAUCCUUCCAAAGGGUCGCAAGAUGAAUAAAUAUAAGCUAAUCCAUCAAUGGAUUGCUCUUGGAUUCAUGGAGCCAUCUAGUAUAUUCUCUAAUUGGCAACUCGGUGAAAGUUACAUUAUGCAGCUUCUGGAGAUGUCAAUUCUUCGACAUUCAAAGGCUGUCGUUGAAUGUUACGACACAAACAAGAUUGUCACACUGUUCACAAUGCAUGACCUGGUGCAUGACCUCGCAAGGUCAGUCAUGGCUGACGAAUUUAACUUGACGGGCCCCAACUGCCGCUAUGCAUGGAACAUAGAUUGCACGAAGCCACUAAAGUCAUCCACGACUUCACCUGAAAAGUUAAGGGCGCUGAAUAUUGUGCGCGCAGCUGGAACCUCAUGGUCUAAGUUCCAUCAUGAUGCAAUUGCACCAGCAAAGUACGUCCGUGUCUUGCAUGCAUCAGUCAAAUCGAAUAGGUUGUUCACUUCUAUUGGUCAAUUGAAGCAGUUGAGGUAUCUUCAUGCUCCAAAUAUCCAGGGUCGAGUGGAUCUCGGGUGUAUCGGUAUGCUUCGAAAAUUGAAUUAUCUCAACCUUAGUAAUUGUGAGGAAUUGUCAGCAUUGCUAGAGUCAAUUGGUGAAAUGGAAGGUCUGAUGUAGAUUAACUUAUCAGGUUGUCCGAAUCUGAAAGAACUCCCACAUUCGUUUGCGAAUCUCAAAGAGUUGGUAUAUCUGAACUUAUCAGAGAGUGAUAAUGUUUUAGGACUACACGAAGCUUUGGCUAACCUUUCCAAACUCCAACAUUUAGAAUUAACAGCAUGUGAAAAUCUCAGAGGACGUCCAGAAGUCAUCAGCAAUCUCACCGAACUCCGCAAUCUGAAGCUAUCAGGGUGCAUGCAUCAUAUAUUUGACAGCUCAUCAACAGAUCAAACUGAGAGUUUCAUUGACUGUAUCUGUAGGCUUCCCAAUAUGGAGCACCUGGACCUGUCUUUUAAUGGUCAUCCUCUUAUUAGUAUACCACAAAGUGCUAGCUGCCUCCAGAAGCUGGUCCUUCAAAACUGCAGCCAUGUUUUUAGGCUUCCAGAAUGUGUGGCUAAAAUGGACUGUCAAAGCCUUUUUGGCUUGUUGCCAAUGUUUUCUGUAACUGUCGAGGAUAGUAAAUGUUACACCAGCCUUGGCUUGCUUGAGCAUGUAAAUCCUGACAAGCUGUACAUCGACAAACUUGAAAAUGUGAAGUCCCGAGAAGAGGCACGCAGUGUAAAAUUGAUUGAAAAACAGAGGAUUGAAGAAUUGACAUUAAAGUGGACGCCAAAAGGGAAGAGAUCUGUGGAUGACAUGGAGUUGUUGACAGAGCUAGUGCCACCGACCGCUUUGCAGAGCUUUGGGAUAUAUGGUUAUAUUAGCGUCAGCUUUCCAAACUGGCUAAUGAGUAUUGGCAAUUAUCUCCCUAAUGUUGUCCGAAUGGAGAUGUUUGAUUUGCCCAACUGCAACAGUUUUCCACCCCUCGCCCAACUACCACCAAAUCUCCAGGUGCUUAUUCUGAAACGCAUGGAAAGCCUGCAAGAAUGGAACACAACAUACUCUAGUGGCGAGGAUGGUGUGAAUGAGCUCGUGUUCUGUAAACUUGAGGAAGUGAUUAUAAAGUAUUGCAGCAAACUGAGGAUAACACCACACCUUCCUAGAGCUGCAUCUUGGUAUAUAAAGGGAAGUGAUAAUGUGCUCAUAUCAUAGGCAGAGAGCGUGUUACACAAUUGUGCUUCCUCAUCUUCUUCUCCAGUAGGAGUUUCUACUAAUCUAACAGUUGAAAACAAGGAGGUGCCUCUGCAUCAGUGGCGAUUGCUUCACCAUCUACCUGCCAUCAGUGAUUUGAGGAUCAAAUAUUGCUGUGAUUUGGCAAGCUCACCAGAGAUCACCUGGGCCCUCCGGUCCCUCAAAUCACUAAUACUAAGGAACUCGGCCCAAACAAAACUGUCCGGAUGGGUAGGUGAGUUGCCAUCUCUUCAGCAACUGGUGAUAAUGCGAUGCAAUAACCUAGAGGAAUUGCCUGAUAGCAUGGGGCAACUUAAACAGCUGCAAUCAUUAACACUAAGUAGCUGUUGUAGCUUGAGACAGCUGCCGCUGUUGUUAGGAGGACUUAUACCUCUCUCAAGAAACUUCGAAUUGGGUAUUGUCCUGCUAUCACGACUCUGCCAGACAGAUACAACAACUCACAAAUCUCCAAGAAUUAGAAAUUCUCAACUGCCCUAACUUAGAGCAGUGGUGUGAAGCAGAGGAGAACAAGACGAAGCUUGCUCACAUAGAACAAAAGAUGAUCGGUUUGCCCUCGAAGAGGGCUGCCAGCCGCCGAUGUUCCCCACUACGGUGGCCCUUGCUGCGAACGAAAAUAAGAAAGGGAUGCUGAAGAAAAGAAAGCGGGGGCGCGAAUCAGGAUUUAGGCUGCUCGAUCGAGUUCUGAUUCAAAACUCUGUAGUAAUUAUACCACGUGGUUCUAACCUACUCCUGGUAUGUAAAUCUACAUGCCCUGAAUUAAAAAAAAUCUCUAUCGUAUUCCAAGCAGACAUAUAAGAAAUCAAAGUGUGGGGAUAAUUGCAUGUUACCUCUGUCAGUAGAUAUUGUGCUACUUUGUUAUCUGCUCCCUUGACAAAGAAAAUAUGAUUCAAGUCUCUCGGAAAGAGCGCUUCUUGCUUGGUUAUUAGUUCUGUAGUCAGAGAUCUUUAGCUGUUUGCCUUCCUCUACUCUGCAAGUAGGCAAAAUAGUCUG
rnacentral:rRNA from 1 species